CCACUGCUCCAACAAUCCUUCCAGCAAAGCAAAGGCGAGGCCGCCCACGCAAAGAUGGAGGUGUUGCUAAAAGAGGAAAUUUACAAUCUUCAAUGACUCCUCCACCACCUGAAACCAUUAAAAAAGUUCAACAAAAUGCAGUUGAAGUGAGCCAAAAAGAUGGAGGCAUUGUUGGUGGUAACAACAUUAUAGGACAGAUGGUUUCUGGUGUUGUUGACGGUUGCUUUGAUGCAGGGUACUUCAUCUCAGUACGCGUAGGUAAUAGCGCCACCACACUCCGCGGAUUAGUUUUCCAGCCGGGGCGAUUUGCUCCUAUUACACCAGCAAAUGAUGUUGUCCCUUCAGCUGCAAUGUAUCACAGAAAUCAGGUUGCUACACCACUUUUAAACCUACUGCAAGAAAAGCAGCCAAAUGUUGCACCAGCACAAGUUUUACCUUCUAAGCCAAUGUCAAGUGCAACAUUUGUACCUAAUAACAGUCAAUUUGCUCCUGUUAUGGCACCUCAAUCUGACACUGUUAUGGUAUCUAACGAGCUGCGGAGUAAAAUCAUGCUGCAGCAAAAUCAAGAUCAAAGACAAAUCCAAUCUCAAUCCACCCUUCCAAUGGAAAAUCUUAGAAUGGUUGAACAGGAUGAAGUAAUGCAAGUAUUUGAAGUCACAAACCAAUCACAAGGGGCUGAAAUAAAUGCAGAACCAACUAAAGGUAUGUUUUCAGAAUCCUUAUUAGAACCAAAAGCUAGUGAAGGAACUAGCAAUCAAGGACCUAAGGCUCAAAACCAAGUUAUGGGCUCAACAUUUCAGCCUGCUGUGGACCACCAAUCGAUCGAAUCUGAAUCCAAGAAUGAUAAGCAAACGAAUCAUGAGCAGUCGUAUAUGCAAACGUUACUUCAGCCGGGAGAGUUGGUUUACUGUGAAGCGAAGAAACUUGAGAUACACCGAGCUCCUAUAAACGCUCAAACUCAAGUCGAUUUCCAAGGGCUUUCUCCAAUGAAUGAAGACAUUCAAAUGAAGGAAUGGACGCAAAGCGGACAAGAAAACCAACAGAAUCAAUUCAAUCAAAGUAGUCUAUUUGCGGAACUUAACUCUGUUGCCCAAGAAACACAAGCUGCUGAAACUCAAAUUAUUGAACAGAACCAUACACAUAUGAUGGAGAAACUACAUUAUGUUGAGAUGCCUGAGGCUACUAGUGAGAAUCCAAAUGCUGAUAUCAACCAAGUAGUGGUUACUAGUGAAACUCAAGCGGCAGCUCCAGAAUCGAUUAAGACUUCAAUGGACUUCAUGAUGGAAAAGCUGAGUUACUCAAAGAAUGAGGAAUCUCAAAAUACUCAUGUUGGAACUGAAGUUGAGUUAGGAGUAAAUGCUGCAUCAAAUGAAACCAAGGAAGCAAGUGAUGCUGGUGACAAACUUGUGUUAGGUUCUCAGUUAGCAUCACAGCAAGAAGAGGCAGAGACAGGAAAUUCUGAUCAAUCAGCAAAAGUUGAAACUCAAACUAAAAGUUGUGAUGGUGGCAACAGCAACUUGGAAAUUGUUCACCAAGGCCAACAAAGCCAACCUUGAAGCAGCUUAUAAGUAAAGAUAAAACAAGAUUUGUUUUUCAUCUUUUUUCUAUGUAAGCAGCUGACUGAAGGGGAGCCUUGGAGCAACAGUAAAGUUGUUUCCGUGUGACCUAUUGGUUAUGGGUUCGAGUCGUGGAACCAGCCACUCACGCUGCGUCAAGUAGGCUGUCUACAUCACACCCCUUGGGGUGCGGCCCUUUUCCCGAUCCUACGUAAACGUGGGAUGCUUUGUGCAUCGGGCUGCCCCUUAUAAGCAGUUGAUUGAUAGUUUAGAGCCUUAUCUUCAAGUUAGACUUGGUUUCUUUUUCUUUUUAUUUUGCAAGACUUUUCUGGAAUCACUGACCUCAAUCAUCCCAAUUAUGUAUGCUUUUCCCAUCACUAUGGAGUGUUACUUUGGUGGCUGAGUAGAGUUAGAUAGCCACAUGACUAUCAUUUUGGAACUUGGGAUAUGGAUUCCUCGAUUAUAAAUUUACAAUCUAACCAAGAUAAUGAAAAGUGACACUUUUAUCAUAAAGGAUUUAACUUACAUACACCAACAAUAUAAAACUUUUUUAUAUUAUUAGCAUAACUUAUAUCCCCAGUCAAAAUCUUGACAUGCUGGAUUCCACGUUUCAAAAUAUUUCGGGAAAAAAAUGCACCCCUCUACUUUUGACUAUAUUUGUGAGCUUAAAUGGAGCGAUAUGAUCUGUGAAAAUUCAUAUGACCAACCAUAACUUGCUUGAAAUUGAGGUGUAGUUAGUGUUCUUGUAGCGUCUUUUAACAUAUUGUAGCGGGUAAUCUUUCGUAUCUUCCAGGUUACAUGUAAUUAUUUUCUAGGUGACUUGAUAGUGUAAAAAUUAUUUUACAUUGUCCGUGUGUAAAAGUUGAACUUUACCAAACAAAUAGGAGAAGGGAUAGAACUUAAAAAAGUGACACCUUAAAAGAUCACAUAUUUGUCAUUAUAUCUUCUUUUCUAAUAAUAAUAUUCUGUCUACUUAGGGUUGCACGUUAGAUUCCUUUUACUGUAACGAUUUUCCCAAAAAGAAAUUCCCCUUUACUGGGCAGGUUAAUGAAUUGGUUGUUUCAAUUCCAUUAUUAUGAGGGGAACUACUCCAAUUGAAAAAGAAAUGUAGAAGUUCAGGAAUUAAAUUCUCCCCAAAAGAACUUAUGUAUGAUGCUGCAUCUUCAAUCAAUUUCUAUGCCAUCUUCUUAAGAGAAUUAGAAGCUAUUGCCUUAGUUAAUUAACAAAUAAAUAGAAUUAAAUAAAAUUAACAAAUAUAUAUUUGGCUUACUAGUUCUGCUUUUAGCUCAUGUGUCAACUCUUACUUCCCACUUCCUCAAGUUCUUCUUUCGGUUAUGAUGAGAGUUCCCUUUUCAUUUUGUUUUCUUCUUCUGCCGAAUUCUAGCUAGAAAGAUGUAGAUUACACAUCUAAUAAAAUCUAAUGAGACUUCUCAUGAAUCCAGCUCCAUAGAGGACAAACUAGAUCUUCAAUAAAUUGAACUGAUAGAUAAUCAUGAUAGUAAACUGUUGCACAAGUGUCUCCACUUUAUGGUUUUUUGAUUAUGACGAAGUAGACCUUCACCGGCUUGGAUUGAAAGGAAAGGCUUCGCUUUCCAAUUGCCUUUUGAGCAAGUUCAGGACUCUCUAUCGCUUUCUGCUUGGAGCGAUAGACCAUCUUAUCGCUUUCCAAAGAGGUGUAAAAGCUGAAGAGGUUCCAGGAGUUGCCAAUCAGAGCAACAGUAAACUGACUGAGCUUAGAGAAGUCAUGUAUCUACAUAUCAGACCCCGAUCAAUCUAAUCGAACCAACUAUUUGUUUGAGGCUACAAUUGCUAGAUCGUUGCCCAGGAAUAAUGUGAUAACAUGGGUCUUUGUUACACCAGCUUUGUUAGGUUGGAAAUCUUGCCACUUCAGUCAUUCUCAUGAGCUGGAAGAGAAGAAAGUUCUCAACGUCUAACAACAAAGU
rnacentral:lncRNA from 1 species